GACGAACGCUGGCGGCGCGCCUAACACAUGCAAGUCGAGCGAUGAAAUUUUAACCGCUCUCUUCGGAGAGUAGCUAAAAUGGAUUAGCGGCGGACGGGUGAGUAACACGUGAGAAACCUGCCUUUCACAAGGGGAUAGCCUCGGGAAACCGGGAUUAAUAACCUAUGACACAUUUCCUUCGCAUGGCAGAAAUGUUAAAACUCCGGUGGUGAAAGAUGGUCUCGCGCCUGAUUAGCUAGUUGGUGGGGUAACGGCCCACCAAGGCCAUGAUCAGUAACCGGCCUGCGAGGGUGAACGGUCACAUUGGAACUGAGACACCGUACAAACUCCUACGGGAGGCAGCAGUGGGGAAUAUUGCAACAUCGAGGAAACUCUGAUGGAGCGACGAUGCGUGAGCGAUGAAGGCUGUCGAGUCGUAAAGCUUUGGUCUAUGGGAAGAUAUUGACGGUACCAUAGGAGAAAGCCCCGGCUAACUACGUG
rnacentral:rRNA from 1 species